rnacentral:rRNA from 1 species
AUGGCAAGCUACCGCUUCCUGGUUCAACAACUCAGCGGAUACUUUGAAGGAUGCGAGUUCCUCCAUGUACCGCGAGCCGACAACGAGCCAGCCGAUGCCCUGGCUCGAAUAGGCUCCACUCGGCAAGCAAUACCAACCAGCGUCGCUCUACAACGCCUCCUCAAGCCAUCCAUCAAGCCGUCUCUAGAGUCCGAUUCCAUCUUCGUACUGCCUGACCCCGACGCGGCCGGGUCCGGCUCGAAGAACCAAGCAGGCGACCCCGGGACUUCAGUAGUCGGCCCGGGGACUUCGGCAACCAGCUCGGGGACUGCCACACCCGGCUCGGGGACUGCAGUAGCCGGCCCGGGGACUGCACCAGCACAACAGCCGGCGGCCGACUCCAGCAUUUCACCACCCAGCCAGAGAAGUGGCGGCUCCGUCAUGGGCUCAGUCCAUCCUCAACUUCCUAGUAAACCAAGACCUGCCGGCUGA